AUACAAACACACCAAAAUCUGCUGAUCAUGAUCAGUGUCUCGCUGAGAGAAAUGCCCGAUGGGGUGGUGGUCUGACGGACAAUCGGAUACCAGUUAGAAAAGACUCCUUGCGAAGGUCAUUUUUAUUCCGAACCACAUCUUCUCCUUAAUAAAACAAUUGGUUGUGAGACGUGGGGGGGGGGGGUGAGUAGGGCCACCAUGUCCAGUGUCUCAUCCCGAACCUAAACCUUUGUCUCCUUACCCUCUCCGCACAUCCUUCCUCCU
ensembl:ncRNA F28B4.7 ncRNA